rnacentral:rRNA from 1 species
CGACAGCAAUAUGAAGGUCAGGCUGAAGACCUACCCGAUUAGCUGAGAGGUGGUGCAUGGCCGUCGUCAGUUCGUACUGUGAAGCAUCCUGUUAAGUCAGGCAACGAGCGAGACCCACGUCCACAGUUGCCAGCAUACCCUCCGGGGUGAUGGGUACACUGUGGAGACCGCCGCUGCUAAAGCGGAGGAAGGAGUGGGCAACGGUAGGUCAGUAUGCCCCGAAUCUCCCGGGCUACACGCGGGCUACAAUGGUUGGUACAAUGGGCAUCUACCCCGAAAGGGGAAGGAAAUCUCUUAAAGCCAAUCGUAGUUCGGAUUGAGGGCUGCAACUCGCCCUCAUGAAGCUGGAAUCCGUAGUAAUCGCGUUUCAACAGAACGCGGUGAAUACGUCCCUGCUCCUU